rnacentral:rRNA from 1 species
GUGGGGAAUAUUGGACAAUGGGCGAAAGCCUGAUCCAGCCAUGCCGCGUGAGUGAUGAAGGCCUUAGUGUUGUAAAGCUCUUUCAGUAGGGAAGAUAAUGACGGUACCUACAGAAGAAGCCCCGGCUAACUUCGUGCCAGCAGCCGCGGUAAUACGAAGGGGGCUAGCGUUGUUCGGAUUUACUGGGCGUAAAGCGCACGUAGGCGGAUUGGUCAGUUAGAGGUGAAAUCCUGGAGCUCAACUCCAGAACUGCCUUUAAUACUGCCAGUCUAGAGUCCAGAAGAGGUGAGUGGAACUCCUAGUGUAGAGGUGGAAUUCGUAGAUAUUAGGAAGAACACCAGUGGCGAAGGCGGCUCACUGGUCUGGUACUGACGCUGAGGUGCGAAAGCGUGGGGAGCAAACAGGAUUAGAAACCCGAGUAGUCC